rnacentral:rRNA from 1 species
UACGAAGGGGGCUAGCGUUGCUCGGAAUCACUGGGCGUAAAGCGCACGUAGGCGGGUCUUUAAGUCAGGGGUGAAAUCCUGGAGCUCAACUCCAGAACUGCCUUUGAUACUGAGGAUCUCGAGUCCGGGAGAGGUGAGUGGAACUCCGAGUGUAGAGGUGAAAUUCGUAGAUAUUCGGAAGAACACCAGUGGCGAAGGCGGCUCACUGGCCCGGUACUGACGCUGAGGUGCGAAAGCG